rnacentral:misc_RNA from 1 species
GUUCUCUGGUAUUUAUCUUCCCCCAGCGUGUCCUCUUCUCCGUCCUCCCUCCUUCAAGCUACCAUGGUGUCCCUGCUUUGGCUGGUGACGCGCCUCUGCUCCUCCCGGCUCCCAGCGCCCUCGUCUUCUCCCUGGUGCCGCACCUGCUGCCGCGCCCGACCUGCUUCCUGUGCGCGCGCUCCUUGCUCGCCAUGGCCGCGCCGGCUCCCUACACGCAGCCUGGCCGCGCAGCUCCCUGGUGUCGUGCCCCUCCCUCUCCACCCUGCACGCUCGGCGCCCAUCUCCCAGUCCAUGGUCGCGCCCAGCUUCUGUGCUCUGUGCGCGCGCCGUGCUCCUCUGUCGGUCGCUCCUCCCUGGCUGCUGGCGCUCGACCGCUCGGUUCUGUCCCAAUGCCGUGCUUAUCUCCCUGCUCCAGCUCGGAUUUGGUCCAGCGUCGCGCCCAGUUCUCCUCCCUUUCCCAUAGCGGCUCUCUCUCCUUCAUCUCCCUCCUCUGUGCAGCGCCACAUCUCUCUACUCGUCACGGCGCGUCGAACCCCCAGCGCUGCGGCCCUUCUCCAUCUUCUUCCUCCCUGUGGCAGCUCGCCCUCGCCUGUGACGCGCCCCUGCGCUCGUCGCGGCGCUCCAGCCCGCCCAUCCACGCGUAGCCACGAACUCCCCUGCGCUCGUCCUGUGCUGAGGUCCCGCCAUCUGUGCCCUGCCGAGUUUCUCCCUCGUCGUAGUCCCUGGAUCGCCCGGCUUUCUCUGCCCAGUUCAUGCCCCAGCUCCCUGCGCCACGACGCGCGAGCAACUUUGCAGCUCCACUCGUAUUCGCCGUCUCAGCUCACCCUACGUCCACGUUGCUCUGCCAGGGAGUUAUUCCCCUGUGCGUUCGCUGUGGAUGUCGUCCUUGCGUCCGUGUGAGCUCCAUUUACCGGCACAGCCUCUUGGCUUUGUGCAUUCUUCUUGGUGUCGUGACCUGGUGGCCGUCGAUUUGAAGCUCUGAAUGGAUUCGUCCAUGUCCAACACUAUCCGUGUCGUUGUCGUUCGCCUUCGCGCUGUGUGCGACAACAUCGUUGUUUCCCUUCAUGUGCUCAUCUUCCAUCUCUUCCUCGCCAUGGCGCAUGUCGGCAUCUUUAAUCUCAGUAACUCUUCCGAUACGCGUCUCGUCGUGUUUCGCCUCCUCGUGGUCAGCCCCAUCUGGGUCAUGAGGGCGGAAGAUCUUAACACUGCUUCAUAUGGCUGUUUUUAUGCUAUUUGCGGGGUAGAGAGUUGUUGUGAUAGAUGGUUUUCGCCCUCUUGUCGUCUUUGCAAACCUCGUUGAUCGUCGCUGGUUUAAGAGAAAUCACCGGAAGGUAUGGAGAAGAAAGUGAAGUCGCACGACACUCGUCAGAUGUUCGACGACAAGCUCGAGCCAGGAUUUAUCAGCAUUCGUACGAGUAUUGGGUCGCGUUUGAUGCUGGUGAGCCGAUUUAUACUUUUUGUAAGUUUAUCUAAUGAUUGGAUUAAAUAUAAUUAUUAGUCGUAAUAAUCCUCGUAUUUAGCGCAGGCGCGUUGUGGUAGUGUUAAAAAUAAGUGAAGUACGAUGGAUUUAGUAAUACGAAAGGUAGG